AUGUCGCAAAGUGUCCAGCAUAUUCGGAUCCAUGACAAUGAAACAGCACCUCUGGAACUUCUGACUCUGCAAUGCAUCUUCUGUAAAUCCCAUCGGAACUGUGCUUGUACAGAUAUGGCUCAUCCCAGUGGUAUCUUCGCAGCUCUCUCAGGAACUUCUUCUUUGCAUAGCCCUUAAAGUUCUCAGGCUCAGCCUCUGCAGCGAGAUAAUUGGCAAUAUCAGCAUACCAAGGACGUUGGGUGGCAGAUACAGCAGCUGAACUGAUCUCAGGAAGUCUGCUUCGAAUUCGAGACGUCUCUGUGUUCGGCUGAGCAAGGUGACGCACGACACUAGUGGUGGUGUCGCUCGUCACUGACGUUUC
rnacentral:lncRNA from 1 species